rnacentral:rRNA from 1 species
UGGGGAAUAUUGCACAAUGGGCGAAAGCCUGAUGCAGCAACGCCGCGUGAGUGAUGAAGGCCUUCGGGUUGUAAAGCUCUGUCUUUUGGGACGAUAAUGACGGUACCUGAAGAGUAAGCUCCGGCUAACUACGUGCCAGCAGCCGCGGUAAUACGUAGGGAGCGAGCGUUGUCCGGAUUUACUGGGUGUAAAGGGUGCGUAGGCGGGAUAGCAAGUCAGACGUGAAAUACCGAGGCUUAACUUCGGGGCUGCGUUUGAAACUGUUAUUCUUGAGUGAAGUAGAGGCAGGCGGAAUUCCUAGUGUAGCGGUGAAAUGCGUAGAUAUUAGGAGGAACACCAGUGGCGAAGGCGGCCUGCUGGGCUUUAACUGACGCUGAGGAACGAAAGCAUGGGGAGCAAACA